rnacentral:rRNA from 1 species
GACGAACGCUGGCGGCGUGCUUAACACAUGCAAGUCGAACGGAAAGGCCCUGCUUUUGUGGGGUGCUCGAGUGGCGAACGGGUGAGUAACACGUGAGUAACCUGCCCUUGACUUUGGGAUAACUUCAGGAAACUGGGGCUAAUACCGGAUAGGAGCUCCUGCUGCAUGGUGGGGGUUGGAAAGUUUCGGCGGUUGGGGAUGGACUCGCGGCUUAUCAGCUUGUUGGUGGGGUAGUGGCUUACCAAGGCUUUGACGGGUAGCCGGCCUGAGAGGGUGACCGGCCACAUUGGGACUGAGAUACGGCCCAGACUCCUACGGGAGGCAGCAGUGGGGAAUAUUGCACAAUGGGCGGAAGCCUGAUGCAGCAACGCCGCGUGCGGGAUGACGGCCUUCGGGUUGUAAACCGCUUUCGCCUGUGACGAAGCGUGAGUGACGAUAAUGGGUAAAGAAGCACCGGCUAACUACGUG